AACGAUGGGUGCUAGUUGUUAAGAGGUUUCCGCCUCCUAGUGACGUAGCAAACGCAUUAAGCACCCCGCCUGAGGAGUACGGCCGCAAGGCUAAAACUUAAAGGAAUUGACGGGGACCCGCACAAGCGGUGGAGCAUGUGGUUUAAUUCGAAGAUACGCGAAAAACCUUACCAGGUCUUGACAUACCAAUGAUCGCUUUUGUAAUGAAAGCUUUUCUUCGGAACAUUGGAUACAGGUGGUGCAUGGUCGUCGUCAGUUCGUGUCGUGAGAUGUUGGGUUAAGUCCCGCAACGAGCGCAACCCUUGUUAUUAGUUGCCAGCAUUUAGUUGGGCACUCUAAUGAGACUGCCGGUGAUAAACCGGAGGAAGGUGGGGACGACGUCAGAUCAUCAUGCCCCUUAUGACCUGGGCAACACACGUGCUACAAUGGGAAGUACAACGAGUCGCAAACCGGCGACGGUAAGCUAAUCUCUUAAAACUUCUCUCAGUUCGGACUGGAGUCUGCAACUCGACUCCACGAAGGCGGAAUCGCUAGUAAUCGCGAAUCAGCAUGUCGCGGUGAAUACGUUCCCGGGUCUUGUACACACCGCCCGUCAAAUCAUGGGAGUCGGAAGUACCCAAAGUCGCUUGGCUAACUUUUAGAGGCCGGUGCCUAAGGUAAAAUCGAUGACUGGGAUUAAGU
rnacentral:rRNA from 1 species